GGGUACGAGGAAAUUUUUUAUUUGAAAAAUAAUACAAUAGGUUAAUAAUAUAUUCGUCAACUUCCGUAAAACUCGACUAGUUCCGAAGCGAGUAUUUAAGAAAUGCUACUGUAUAAGCGAUAUCAUAUAAAAUACGAAUAUCGCUUCUGCACCUAGAGAUGAAAUGAUUCCCGUGACAUUUCGGACAGUAAUUUCUCUUAUUCGGAACUGACACGAAUCGAAUUUACUACGCAAACGCUCUUAGUACCAUUUAUAUCACAAGUUGGUGGUUCAGAAAUAACACAGAUGUACUAACUCUCGUUGUGAAUACACUUAUACGUUUAAGUCAGUGCAAUUAAGGAUUUCAAAUCAAUUACAAUUAUUAUGCUUAUUGCAUGAAUUGUUAUAAUUUUGAAACCACUAUCAUUAAGACUAGUUAAAUGUUAAUUAUAAGAUAAUAUAUUUUUUGAAUUUUAUCGUCAUAAUAAGUGAAAUUGUGUGUAUGGUAGUGUAGUGUUCCUUCAUACACCUCUAGUCAAUAUGAGACAAAAAAUUAUGCUAUACACGGUUAUUUUUAAAAUACUAAAAACCUCGCAGGACUAUAGUACUAACAUCAUAAACAAUCACUUUAGUUCCGUGACUUUUGAUAAUGGAAUUAAACGGAAACGGUGAUAACUCUGUGCAAAACGCAGGAGCGCGUGGGGAUCGCAGGGGCGGAUGUUUGCACAUUUCAACUUAUCACGCGGGUCUUGCGUGAUAAUGAGGGUAACACUCGGUCCAUAUGAAUUUUAUUGUAAGAAGGUAGAAAGAACAAAGUAAGGAAAACCUGUAACAAAAAACAAUGCUAUAAAAACGCAGGUAAUACUAUAAAACACUCCCUAACUUAAAUUACUUACGGAUAUGCUUAUGGAUGAAUAUAAAGUAGACACUUACCUCAAAAGGGCCUGUAUUCCUAUGUAUUGCUGCUUUACAAGCAGUUAGGUUUACAUGAUUGAAGGACACGUCUUUUCUCUUCGAGAAUUUUAUGAGUUACGACGGAAUGAAGCGAAGUAAGAAUGAGAAGAAAAAGAAUUGGAGAACGAUUCAAAUUUUCAAAAGUAAGUGGCCAGGAACCAGAGAAAAGGGUGAUAAAAAGGCGGGAUGUCGAUGAAGCGUGACACACAAGAGAACGUGUCGGGCGCGUGGCGGGUCGGGAACUCGGCGGGUGUAAUUCCGUGUAUUUAUAUGGACGACAACACACGACGUAUGGGCGCGAGACGGGCACAGGUCGGGUCCUCCGCCCGACCCGACACGCGCCCGAUUCACACCCGCUGUAAGUGUGUUUCACGCUUGAAAGAGGCCGCAUCGUUACAAACUUACUAUACUACUGGCAAGUACAGAUCUAAAAAGUGUCAGAUAGUUAUAACAAAAGCUUAACAGUUUAUAUUAAGGUGGUGGCGCCAGUAUACGACAAACACCACUGUUCGACAUAUUUUUUUCAGUUCAUUUCUAAUAAGAUUUAGGACAACAUUUUCUAUCAUACUAACACGUUUCUUACUUAUAAGUGUUAAUUACUGGGUGUUAAUUACUGAUGAGUGUUAAUUAUUGGAGAAUUAGAGAUAUUCUAGUUUAGGUUUCUUUUUAGUAAUAAUAGCUUUUUUAUGAAACUUACUACAACAUAAUCUUUUUGAGGAUUAUAUCUGUCAAGUAAACUAAUCACUAUUGACAUAUAUGUUAAAAACAAAAAAGUUAUUUCAAAUUUAAAGACAAACUUCCCUUAAAAUAUCUGUCGUUGGUAUCAUUACUCUAUUAUGUUUUGUAAAAAAUCAUGGAACAGAAGUUAUUGUCUAUGAUGUUAGUAAUAUAGUUUUGAGAAGUUAUUAGUAUUUUACAAAUUAUAUUGUAUAUAAUAUUCCUUUAUACCCAGUAUGUUCUGUUAACAGUACAUAAUAUUCAAGGCGUUAAUAGUACAUAAUGACAGCUUAGAAAUAAAAACAGAUGGGGCUGCGUCAGUGGGUGCCGACCUUAAUUAACGUAAAACAUUUACGUUGAUCGGUUUCUGUUCAAAUUUCUAUUCACGGUACCCAUAAGCAUAUAUUUCUCUUUAAUAUUAAAAAUACUUCACGUCAAACGUUCAUAUAUUUAAUAUAUUUGCUAAAUCGCAAGUUGUAUACUGCCCUCCUUACAAUAACUAACGUAAUCGAAAUUUUUAACGAAAUGAGUUAUGAACAUAAUAUCUGGGGUCACUGAAACCUCCUCUUCUAGAACCUCCUCUGAUCGUCCGAUUAAAUUUACUUUCAGUAUUAAUGUUUUGUAAAAUCGGCGUAGGUAAUUGAGAUUUUUUUACUAGCAAAAAAGUUUAGGAGUCAAUAUCUCGAAAGUUGACAGAAGGAUAGAAGUAUAGAAGUUGACAUGUUACAAAAUAACUAUAGUUUCAUUAUGUCUAGCCAAACAAUAGGCAUACAAACAUUUUGAAUUAUACAUUUACUUACAUGCGGUUCAACAGACCAAACUAGGUGUAACAUCUUUUUUUAUAAUAUCACAUGGGUAUGCAUACACGGAUUGCAUAAAUGAGUCAUAAAUUUAAACAAGGUGAUAAUUAUUUUGGUAAAUUUCUAUGAUAAUAAUUGUCAAAUGUAACUAGAUGUCAGAUAUGCAAAUCGUUGGUUUUCUUGUACAGUGGCUAUCUCAAAAACACCAAAUCCUUCAAGAAGAUGUUUUAAAAAUUAGCAGACGCGCUUCUGACACGCCAAGCCGACGAAUCGUACGAGCCCAAAAUUUUGAAGUGGUUAUUUUAACCACUUCACAAUUUUUUCUAAAUACAGCUGUGCAAUAAGUCGAAAUUUAUGUAUUUUGUUUUAAGCCACUAUUCUUGUAGCGAAAUGUCAAAAAAUAGACAAUAAAGUUUGAAGAGUUUUAUAGUUUUAAAAUUGGGACGCUGUAUAGUAUAUCUUAUAAGUUGUUUAAUUGCUUUUUAAAUAGCAUAAGGUUUUUUCAGACCUUACUUAUUUCGGUCAAUUGUUGGCGCCAUUAAAAAUAUACUUACUUUUUAUUAUUUAUUCAUAGAACAUUGGCUACAGAGCUAUAAGCUUACAUUGUAAUAUUUAAUUAAGAAAUUCAAAACUAAAGCAAUAUUCGUGUAAAAACUACAAAAGCCCGCCACUUCGGAAAGCCCAUUACUUUCACAAAAAUACUUACGUUACGAAAGAUAUCGGUCAACUUCAACGUUUCACGAUAUACCGCCGGCCGCGCGCCCCAACACAGCCUCACACGAAUUAUAUAAAUAGCCAAAAAUAUUAUCAAACAAUAGCUCGACCUAACCUGAAUCCAUAAUUUACUAGAUAUCUUAGAUAUGUAUAUAUUUUCAAAGUAAAUUUGUGUAAAAAGAAAUAUAUAUUUCUAACAAUUUUACUGUAUAUAUUAUGUACAUUAUCAAUUAAAAUAUCAGACUGUCUCAUAAUUUCAAUAUAGAAUGAAAGCAUUGUCCAGAAGUUACACAUUCCAUCGCUGGUUGCAGAUCUCAAUGUACUUAAAUUUUGUAUCAUAUGUUAUUCGUCAUCUGUGUAUGUUUGAAAAUUGAAAACUUAGCAUUGGGCUGCUCUUAGUCGAUAAUUUCGAUCUCCUAGAAAGUCCGGUCUCCUAGAAAGUAAAAUUAUUAAUACAAAGAUCGAGCACAGAAAAUUUUCUUCGAUUUGACUCGAAUCAAAGGGCAAGACACUAAGUUGAGUUCAGUCAGAUAGAAGGAAUUUUCUUCUUUCGGUGUUUGUGUCAAGAAUAAUAAUAACAAACUAGUGGAGUAUUUUCACAAAAAUAUCUGUACAUGGAGAAGUAAAGGGCCUUUAGUCCACAUUUUGGCGUUUAGAUAUUUUUACACACAUUGCUUAAGGAUACAAAAAUCACGCAAUGGUAAAAGACAUUAAGUCCUUUCGUCAUUUGUUUUUUAUUAAACAUAUUUUAUUUGACCUUAAGAGCCUGUGCACACAGCGUAUUUUUACGCGCCGCAAAUGCGCGUCAUCUGCGCGUAUACGCGCGCCGCAGACGUACUGUAGUCGCGUGUAUGUAUCGCGCGUUUUGAUAAAAGAUAGUUCUAAUUUUACUUUUGUUUGUUCAUUUCAGUUACUUUUUUUUUAAAAUGAAGCAACUAUAUGAAAUUGUAAGUGUAAACUCCAGUGGAGUAUAUAAGCUUCUUGCUUGCAACGCGUUGUUUGCGCGCGUUCACGGCGCCGUGUGCAUAGACUCUAAGAUUGAUUUUAAAUGCCUAAUGUUUCUACAUUAGGCCUCAUUCAGUUUAAAACACUCUGCAGUAAAAAUUACUGUUUGGCACUUAAGAUUCUUUACCUCUCACCUACAGAUAUAUGAAAAUUAUGGAAGUAAAACAUCACGAUAUUCAAUAAAUAAAUACUCCACUCUUAUGCCAUUGACAUAUUAUUUCAUCUGCGUAAGGGAAGGGCAUGGAAUACUUCCGGCGUCUGUGUUUCCCGAAAGCUACAAUUUAGGGAUAUUAAAGAGCGAUUAGGCAUAUAUUUAACAAACGCGUAACACCGUUGGCCACAACGUCGCUUGACAUCAGGUGGACUUGUGGCCAUGAAUUCGUCUAUUUUACAUUUUAGUAGCAGCUCUUUGUAUAGUUCGUUCAGGGAAGUACUGCUACCUUACCUACAGCUGUAAUGCUCACAUUAUCGCGUUUUGGUUUUGAAGGCAAGGGCACUGGUGAAACUACAGUAUGACGGACUCAGUGACUGUGUCUUUGCGAUUUAAAGCUAUAGUCUACACAAAAUCUCAUGGAAUUUCAUUAGUUAGUGACAAAAAUGAGCUCGAACUGUUUCUACGGUUACUUGAAUUAUUGUAAAAAAUAUUGUAUUUUCUUUACAAAUAUAACUACUUACAUGAAACGAACAUUCCUCGUGCAUUUUAGAGAUUAUUUAUUACGUUUUAUCUUUUGAUGCCAAUGAGUAGUCGCACAUUCACAUAGUAAUAAUCAAUGUAUAGAAAUAUAUAGGUAGUUUAACUACGUAUUUGUCUAUAAUUUUCAUAAUGUAACUAAAAUAAAUAAAAAAACAUUGACAGCUAAACGUAUUACUCCAAACAAAUAUACUGUAGAAAUGUAUACAGUCAAAAUAACUAUACUAACGACAAUGGCUUUGAAAAUCGGACUUGAGCUGUAAAUAAAUAUGAUGUAAGAGAAUAUUUUCUAUAAAUAAUAUAUUGUUAUUAUAUAUUGUUUAAACGUGUACCUAUUCAGAAGCUUUAGCGUUUAAUUUUCAUUCACAAAAGUUUUCGUAUGCCCUUUUUUCGUCCAUUUAAGGCUGUGUUCUUGUAUUUCCUCAAUCAGCCAUUAAGUGUAUUUUCAAACUAUGCGUACAGUUGUCGCAUCGACGUUAUAUUCGCGUCUAAGUGUAUGCACUGCGCAUUCUAAGUUCUUAUGUUAAUAUAGGUACAAUUAAAUAUGUACAAUUCUAAAACCUACGGUAAGUCUUCAACAACAUUUAAUGUGUAGUCAAAUACCACACGACCAUGAUUGUCGCAUGUGUUUCACAUGGUCCUAUUAUUUAUGAACGUCACGGCGUUUACUACUUCUAGAAAUUUUUGAUUGUCUAUUUUCUUUAGUGUUAUUCUUUGUUUUAUGCUACAUAUCGCAGAAAUAUGGCGAAAUUUCCAGAAAUAUUAGAACAACAUCACAGAACACUUGCUCUACGGUCGAGCGAAGCAUAAAACGCUUCGUAUAUAGCUGGGAAAAUUAAAAAAAAUUAAGUCGUAAAUUGAAAAAUAUCUCAGUGCACACCAUUAGAAAAAUUAUACCUAGAAUAAGUAUUGUGUGAAACACAACAUAAACACCCUUAUACAUUUUACAAAAAUGUAUUUAUAAAUAAGUGCAUAGGUGCCAAAAUAGACCAAUGUUUGUGAGAUGUUUUAUGUCGCAAUUUUGUAUUUGUUUUAGUUUACAUACUACCGGUUUUGGUUAAUUACCAAAAAUCUAUCCCAUUAAUCCUAAGGCUAGCUAAUACUGACAUUUUUAACUUAAUUUCACAAUAAAGGGUGUUUUUAUAUUGUCUUUUAUUGCUUAAGACAAAAUCAAAUGCUUUACGCUGCUUUUAAUUUGAUUAAGUAAUUAAAUUAAAAUAUUUUUCUUAUUGAAUAUGAAAAAGUAUUUUAAUUUAAUCGAAAACUACAUACAUUUUUCCAGAGGAUAGGGAACUUUUUAACUAGCUUAAAGAUUUUAUUCAAGGACAGAACUUACCGCUCUCCCCUCAAUUAAAAUGCC